UACGGAGGGGGCGAGCGUUAUUCGGAAUUAUUGGGCGUAAAGGGCGCGUAGGCGGCUGUACAAGUCAAAGGUGAAAUCCCUCGGCUCAACUGAGGAACUGCCUUUGAAACUGUACGGCUUGAGGCCGGGAGGGGGUAGCGGAAUUCCCAGUGUAGCGGUGAAAUGCGUAGAUACUGGGAGGAACACCAGUGGCGAAGGCGGCUACCUGGACCGGUUCUGACGCUAAGGCGCGAAAGCGUGGGGAGCAAACAGG
rnacentral:rRNA from 1 species